rfam:Fukomys damarensis contig77140, whole genome shotgun sequence.
GUGUGGCUCAGUGGUAGAGCACUUACUUAGCAUGUGGGAGGCUCUGGGUUUGACCCCCAACAC